CCUACGAGUGGCAGCAGUGGGGAAUAUUGCACAAUGGGGGAAACCCUGAUGCAGCAACGCCGCGUGAGUGAAGAAGUAUUUCGGUAUGUAAAGCCCUAUCAGCAGGGAAGAAAAUGACAGUACCUGACGAAGAAGCCCCGGCUAACUACGUGCCAGCAGCCGCGGUAAUACGUAGGGGGCAAGCGUUAUCCGGAUUUACCGGGUGUAAAGGGAGUGUAGACGGCUGCGCAAGUCAGAAGUGAAAGCCCGGGGCACAACCGCGGGACUGCUUUUGAAACUGUGGAGCUAGAGUGCAGGAGAGGUAAGUGGAAUUCGUGGUGUAGCGGUGAAAUGCGUAGAUAUUAGGAGGAACACCGGUGGCGAGGGCGGCUUACUGGACUGUAACUGACGUUGAGGCUCGAAAGCGUGGGGAGCAAACAGGAUUAGAUACCCCUGUAGUC
rnacentral:rRNA from 1 species